AUGAUUGUAAGGUGUACAUGUCCAGCGGGCAGGUGUCAUCUGACCUUGACCUCAUUUUCAUGGUUCAGUGGUUAUAGUUAAGGUUUUGUGUUUUGGUCUGUUUUUCUUAUACUGUAUGCCAUAGGUCUACUUUAUUUGGUGUAUGGAAUGAUUGUAAGGUGUACAUGUCUAGCGGGCAGGUGUCAUCUGACCUUGACCUCAUUUUCAUGGUUCAGUGGUCAAAGUUAAGUUUUUGAGUUUUGGUCUUUUUUUCUAAUACUAUAUGCAAUAGUUCAACUAUAUUUGGUAUGUGUGUACCUUGCAAGGUCCUCAUGCCCGUCAGACAGUUUUCACUUGACCUUGACCUCAUUUUAUGGAUCAGUGAACAAGGUUAAGUUUUGGUGGUCAAGUCCAUAUCUCAGAUACUAUAAGCAAUAGGUCUUGUAUAUUCGGUGUAUGGAAGGACUGUAAGGUGUACAUGUCCAACUGGAAGGUGUCAUCUGACCUUGACCUCAUUUUCAUGGUUCAGUGGUUAUAGUUAAGUUUUUGUGUUUUGGUCUGUUUUUCUUAUACUGUAUGCCAUAGGUCUACUAUAUUUGGUGUAUGGAAUGAUUGUAAGGUGUACAUGUCUAGCGGGCAGGUGUCAUCUGACCAUGACCUCAUUUUCAUGGUUCAGUGGUCAAAGUUAAGUUUUUUGAGUUUUGGUCUUUUUUUCUAAUACUAUAUGCAAUAGUUCAACUAUAUUUGGUGUAUGGAAAUAUUUUAUGAUCUAUUUGGCAGUCACGCAGGUUUUAUUUGACCUUGACCUCAUUUUCAAGGUUCAUUGCUCAGUGUUAAGUUUUUGUGUUUUGGUCUGUUUUUCUUAAACUAUAAGCAAUAGGUCAACUAUAUUUGUUGUAUGGAAGAAUUGUUAGCUGUACAUGCCUGCCUAGCAUGGUUCAUCUGACCUUGACCUCAUUUUCAUGGUUCAUUGGUCAAUGUUUAGUUUACUUGGUUAAUGUUAAGUUUAUGUGACAGUUGUAAUAAAGCUUUAUAUUUAGGACUAUCAACAUAAUAUCAAUGAUUAGUAAAGAAGGCGAGACAUUUCAGCGUGUGCACUCUUGUUC